rnacentral:Y_RNA from 1 species
GGCUGGUCCGAAGGUAGUGAGUCAUCUCAAUUGACUGUUCAGUCAGUUACAGAUUGAACUCCUUGUUCUACUCUUUCCCCCCUUCUCACUACUGCACUUGACCAGUCUAAA